UACGGAGGGUCCAAGCGUUAUCCGGAAUCAUUGGGUUUAAAGGGUCCGUAGGCGGUUUUGUAAGUCAGUGGUGAAAGCCCAUCGCUCAACGGUGGAACGGCCAUUGAUACUGCAAGACUUGAAUUAUUGGGAAGUAACUAGAAUAUGUAGUGUAGCGGUGAAAUGCUUAGAGAUUACAUGGAAUACCAAUUGCGAAGGCUGGUUACUACCAAUAUAUUGACGCUGAUGGACGAAAGCGUGGGGAGCGAACAGG
rnacentral:rRNA from 1 species